GGUAAAAUGGCUGAGCAUAGCAUUAGACUGUAAAUCUAAAGACAGGGGUUUAAUUCCUCUUUUUACCA
rnacentral:tRNA from 1 species